UGGGAAGAAAUGGAUCCGGAAAAAGUAACUUUUUCUAUGCAAUUCAGUUUGUCCUCAGUGAUGAGUUUAGUCAUCUUCGCCCCGAGCAGCGACUGGCUUUGUUGCAUGAAGGUACAGGCCCUCGGGUUAUUUCAGCUUUCGUGGAAAUUAUUUUUGACAAUUCGGACAACAGGUUACCAAUUGAUAAAGAGGAAGUUUCACUUCGCAGAGUCAUUGGAGCCAAAAAAGACC
rnacentral:lncRNA from 1 species